CCAUAGCCCCGAUUGCAGUGGAAAUCCUUUUUUGCGUGGACUCUGAGAGCCUCAGCCUGACAAAAGGUGUGGCAAAAAAGAUUACAACGGAAAGCGGGAUUAAGC
rnacentral:sRNA from 2 species